AAAUCAUUUUAACAGGACCCUAAAUUCAGGAAGGGUUUUCACUUCUCAUACAAAAAGUCAAAAACAUAGACAUACAUCUCCCAGAGCAACUGGUGCGUUCGUCGUGCUCGGACUGCUCGCCCAGCCACCGGUACCUCGCUGCUGCUGCUGCUCCCCUCUCAGGUGGGAGAUCAUAAUUCAUAAACAAUGAAGUCAGAUUCAAAUAGACUUUCCAAAACUCACUCCCACCAUGGUAUUAAUUCCAGCAGUUUUAAGCUCAAACAAACUGCUUCCUGUUUUGACUUUAGAGAACUUUCAAAGGCCCUGAAUGUUGCAUCUUCCUCUUCAUCUUCAUCUUCAUCUGAUGCCAUAAAUAUCGCUUCCAACCAAGAAGGGACUGCUAUUGCUUCUGCUUAUGAUUGCAGCAAGCUCUUGGAGGCACUGCAUGGCAUUCAAGAGGUGUUCAAAUCUAAAGAAGAAGAAUAUUGUAGAGGAAAUGUACAGAGAUGCGAAGGGCGAACCAGAGUAACCGGAAAGAACAGAAAAGCAAGAAUUGAAAGAAGAAGUGUAUCAUCAUCCUUACAUUCCCUUUUCCCACUUUUCUUUUAUGGGGCCAGAUGAAUUGCUAUUGAUAACUCCACUUAUGGUUGUUGAAGGUUUCCAAUGACCAGGUCUAUUUGAGUUGUCUUUUGGCAAUGAAAUUCUUGGACUCUCACCGGGACAAAUGCCAACAAUUCUUAAAAUAGUUUCUUGAAGUUAUUGACUUUCUUGUUUUGUCAUUUAGGGCUAUGUUAUUUAUGUCACUUCUUAGUAUUCUAUGUCUUGAAUUGUAACUUCUAUUUUGGCCCUUUGCUCUGCAUUAUUUUGUCUCUACAUUUUAGUAUUACUUGGAAUAUGUGAUUGUGAUAAUGGGGGAGACUUGCUCUGUUGCGAUACAUGCCCACGUACUAUCAUCUGUGCACUGCUAAUAUGAUCAGUCAGUUUUGCAGAUUCAAAUA